GAAAGGCCGCGGUAUAUUGACUGUGCAAAGGUAGCAUAAUAAGUAGUUUUUUAAUUGAAGGCUUGUAUGAAGGGUUGGACAAAGGAUAAGCUGUCUUUUUUCUUGUUUUUGAAUUUGUCUUUUAAGUGAAAAGACUUAAAUAAUUUUAAGGGACGAUAAGACCCUAUAAAUCUUUAUUAUUGUGUUGGGGUGAUGAGAAUAAUUAAUAAACUGUUCUAAAUAAAAACAAAGUUGUUUGAAGUAGUAGAUCCUUUUUAGAGAUUAAAAGUUUAAGUUACUUUAGGGAUAACAGCGUUAUUUUUCUUGAGAGUUCUAAUCGAAAGAAAAGUUUGCGACCUCGAUGUUGAAUUAAAAUUUCUCUAUGGUGCACCGUUAUGGAAGAAAGCUGUCGACUUUUAAAUUUA
rnacentral:rRNA from 1 species